rnacentral:rRNA from 1 species
GACGAACGCUGGCGGCGUGCUUAACACAUGCAAGUCGAACGGAAAGGCCCCUUUGGGGGUACUCGAGUGGCGAACGGGUGAGUAACACGUGAGUAACCUGCCCUUGACUUCGGGAUAACUUCAGGAAACUGGGGCUAAUACCGGAUAGGAAUCCUUGCUGCAUGGUGGGGGUUGGAAAGCUUCGGCGGUUUUGGAUGGACUCGCGGCUUAUCAGCUUGUUGGUGGGGUAGUGGCUUACCAAGGCUUUGACGGGUAGCCGGCCUGAGAGGGCGACCGGCCACAGUGGGACUGAGAUACGGCCCAGACUCCUACGGGAGGCAGCAGUGGGGAAUAUUGCACAAUGGGCGGAAGCCUGAUGCAGCAACGCCGCGUGCGGGAUGACGGCCUUCGGGUUGUAAACCGCUUUCAGCAGGGGCGAAGCUUGUGGUGACGGUACCUGCAGAAGAAGCACCGGCUAACUACGUG